rfam:Picea glauca, whole genome shotgun sequence.
UGGCAAUGAUGAUAGCAAAGGCCGGUCUUACAGCUGCUCUGGUUCCUAUCAGUAGGUAGCAGGAUGAUGCUUACUGCUAAGGGUAUUUUCUGAGCCAG